rnacentral:tRNA from 2 species
GGCUCGUUGGUCAAGCGGUUAAGACUCCGGCCUCUCACGCCGGCAACGAGGGUUCGAUUCCCUCACGAGUCA